rnacentral:rRNA from 1 species
UACGUAGGGUGCGAGCGUUGUCCGGAUUUACUGGGCGUAAAGAGCUCGUAGGCGGUCUGUUGCGUCGGCUGUGAAAACCCGAGGCUCAACCCCGGGCCUGCAGCCGAUACGGGCAGACUAGAGUUCGGCAGGGGAGACUGGAAUUCCUGGUGUAGCGGUGAAAUGCGCAGAUAUCAGGAGGAACACCGGUGGCGAAGGCGGGUCUCUGGGCCGAUACUGACGCUGAGGAGCGAAAGCGUGGGGAGCGAACAGG